CACGGGGGGAGCAAGCGUUGUUCGGAAUCACUGGGCGUAAAGGGUGUCUAGGCGGUCAGGUAAGUGAGAUGUGAAAUGCCCCGGCUUACCCGGGGACCUGCAUCUCAUACUGUCUGGCUUGAGUAUGGGAGAGGAUGAGGGAAUUCCUGGUGUAGCGGUGAAAUGCGUAGAUAUCAGGAGGAACACCGGUGGCGAAAGCGCUCAUCUGGCCCAAUACUGACGCUGAAGCACGAAAGCUAGGGGAGCAAACAGG
rnacentral:rRNA from 1 species